UGGGGAAUAUUGGACAAUGGGCGAAAGCCUGAUCCAGCCAUGCCGCGUGUGUGAAGAAGGUCUUCGGAUUGUAAAGCACUUUAAGUUGGGAGGAAGGGCAGUAAGCGAAUACCUUGCUGUUUUGACGUUACCGACAGAAUAAGCACCGGCUAACUCUGUGCCAGCAGCCGCGGUAAUACAGAGGGUGCAAGCGUUAAUCGGAAUUACUGGGCGUAAAGCGCGCGUAGGUGGUUCGUUAAGUUGAAUGUGAAAGCCCCGGGCUCAACCUGGGAACUGCAUCCAAAACUGGCGAGCUAGAGUAGGGCAGAGGGUGGUGGAAUUUCCUGUGUAGCGGUGAAAUGCGUAGAUAUAGGAAGGAACACCAGUGGCGAAGGCGACCACAUGGGCUCAUACUGCCACUGAGGUGCGAAAGCGUGGGGAGCAAACAGG
rnacentral:rRNA from 1 species